UUCAAAAUUCUUUGAACACGAGCAACUGAAGUCCGAACAUGAAGAGAACCUGCCAGAAAAAGAUUAACAAUCUCAACAAAAUAGUAGAACCCACAUCCGUAAAUUCAACUAUCCAUUUACUUUGCCACUUGGGAAGAUUACAAGAUGCUCUAAAACUCAUCUUCUCUAACCCAACCCACUCGGAUUAUUCUCUGUAUUCAAAAAUUUUGCAGCUUUGCAUCCACAGAAAGGCAAAAAUGGAAGGCCGUUUGAUUCAUGGUCAUCUUUUAGCCAAUGGGCUUCAUUCAAAUGCAUAUUUAAACACAAAUUUAGUUAUAUUCUAUUCGAAGCUCGGUGACAUGGUUAACUCCCGUAAAGUGUUCGAUAGAAUGUCUGAGAGGAGUUUGGUCACUUGGACAGCGUUGGUAUCUGGGUAUUCUCAAAAUGGGUACUCAGAGGAAGCUCUUGUGGUGUUUUCAGCAAUGCAUAGGAUUGGUGUUAAUGUUAAGGCUAAUCAGUUCACUUAUGGGAGCGCUUUGAGGGCAUGUACGAGUAUGAUGUGUUUGGACAGAGGGAAGCAAAUUCAAGGAUGUAUUCAAAAGAGUAGACUUGUUAAGAACUUGUUUGUGCAGAGUGCAUUGGUUGAUUUGCAUUCCAAGUGCGGAAAAAUGGAAGACGCGUGUUACAUUUUUGAGUCAAUGUCGGAGAGGGAUGUGGUUUCUUGGAAUACGAUGAUAGGUGGGUAUGCUGUUCAGGGUUUUGCUGAUGAUGCCUUACGAUUAUUUCGUUCAAUGCUUAGAGCAGGUAUGAUCCCUGAUUCCUUUACCUUGGGUAGUAUUAUGAAAGCCUUUGUUGGAGGAAGCAGUCUGAUGAAGGUCUUCCAGAUGCAUGGAUUCAUCAUUCAACUGGGUUGUGAAUCGCAUUAUGUUUUGAUUGGAUCACUGAUUGAUGCAUAUGCAAAAUGUGGGAGUGUUAGAAUUGCAGAUCGGAUUUACAAGAGUAUGCUAAAAAAAGAUACAAUAGCGUGCACCGCAUUAAUCACUGGAUAUGCACGUGAAGGUACCUACAGUAGAGAUGCCUUUGAUCUCUUCAAUGGAAUACAUCAGAUGCAUAUGGGAGUUGAUAAUGUUAUAUUAUGCUCUAUGCUCAAUAUAUGUGCCAAUACAGCUGCACUGGAUUUGGGAAGACAAAUUCAUGCCUUGGUGCUGAAAUGUCAAUCCAAACAUGAUGUAGCCAUGGGAAACACUCUCAUUGAUAUGUACUCAAAAUCUGGAGAAAUUGAAGAUGCUAAACAAGUUUUCAAUGAGAUGGAGCAGAAAAAUGUUGUUUCAUGGACGUCAUUGAUUGCCGGAUAUGGGAAGCAUGGCUACGGGCAUAAGGCGAUUGCACUGUAUAAGAAGAUGGAAUGUGAGGGGUUGAAACCAAAUGACGUUACAUUCCUGACUCUUCUCUUCGCUUGUAGCCAUGCUGGCUUGACUACUGAAGCAUCAGAAUGCUUCAAUAACAUGGUUGGUAAAUACAAUAUCUUGCCAAGGGCUGAGCACUAUUCUUGUAUGGUGGAUGUCUUUGCACGUGGAGGGAAGUUAGAAGAAGCCUAUAUUCUAAUACAAAAGAUGAAUAUUAAGCCUAAUGCCUCGCUUUGGGGUGCGAUUCUUGGGGCAUGCAACGUCUAUGGUGAUUUGUCUCUUGGAGAAGUAGCAGCCAGGCAUUUGUUUAAUAUAGAACCUGAGAAGUCGGUCAACUAUGUGGUUUUAGCAGGAACAUAUGCUGCAGUUGGCUUGUGGGACAGUGUUUGGAAGACAAGGAAAUUAAUGGAAGAGAGAAGUCUAAUAAAGUAUCCUGGAUACAGCCUUCUUCGGUCCAUUAAAAAGAGGGUGCCUCUUUUGCGGCCAAAGUUGGAAUUGCUGCACUGAACUGCAUACAUGUCUUGUUCUUAUUGGGUUAGAUGCAAGUCUUGUGUUGAUGCCACAAGGGAAAUGCAGCAGAUGGUUGUUUAAUCAUAAUAUAUUAAUGAUCCAAGGACAUCAAGAAGGUUUUUGAUAGUACUACCCUGGUCAGAUUCUCAUGCAGUCAUACUUCUUAGUUUCUAUACAUUCAGGUAUCCAUCCUUCUCCUGUAAACUUUUGCCCUCCUAUAUAUAUCUUCUUUUUAUCUCUUCCAACCUUCCCCAUUUCAGGUGGAAAAUGUCAACAAAUCAUAUACGUUGCUGCUUGAUAGAUGUUGUGUGUAUUGGGUAAAUUAAACUAUUCACCCUCAGACUUUCACCCGAAUUUUAAUUUGCUCCCCCAUCUUCUAAUUGUAAUAAUUAGAUCCUGAAACUUUAACUUGCGUUUCAAUGUGGUCCUCCCAUCUCUUUGGUUAAAAAUUUGGACAGGAAGUGCUGACCUGAGGGCCACGUGAGCACAUUUUAGGGACAUUAGAAGAAAAAAAAAACUUAUAUGACAAAUUACACUCUUCACACUCUAAAUUUCUCUCAAAUUUCACUUUAGUCUCUCAUGUUUCAACUUUUACUAAAAUUUCAAACGGUGGAGUGACAGGAGGAUUACAUUGAAACACGGGUUAAAGUCUGAAUAUUUAAUUGUUACAAUUAGAAGAUGGGGGACCAAAGUAAAAUUUGGGUGAAAUUUUUUAGAAUGAAAACUGUAAUUUACCCUUGUGUAUUUUUUAACAUAUUUUUCUGAUAGUUAGUUUACAUAAACUUCUCAAUCAAUCAUACUUUUGUAUUAUAUCGGAGGUCAGUGCCAUAAUUUUAAUAUGAAUGAAAUUUGUCCUCUACAAUCUUCAGUUUGUCCCAAUUUUGCCUCUCUUUUUUAUUUUAGCGGUACAUGUAUAUCCUCUUUUCAGAUAUCAAGAGGAUGCUGUUCACUGCUAGUUAUUUGAUUUUUCUCCAGAAUCAGAGCUGAGAGUUGAACACCAAGCAGCCUGCUGGUAGGAAGGAACAAUGCAUCGAUGGUAGCUUACAAUGCAAGUUUCUUCAUAAUAUACAUUGCUUUGAAAUUGGCUGCUGCGACUGUUGUUGAUCGGUAAACUAUAGUUGUGUAUCUUACUUAUGUCAGAGUUUGACUGAAAUUUAACAACCGGAUCUUCUCAAUGUAGAAUGGGGUGUGUAAACAUUCUCACCUGCACGUACAAUUGAGACACAAAAGUGUACCAACCAAGAGAGAUUUUAGUGGUUGCGGAGAAGCUUUUGAGAGAUGACGGAUAUGGAGGAGAGAUUUAGUGGUUGCAGAGGAGCUUUUGAGAGUGAUGGAUACGGAGGAACAAAAUUGUUGAUAAAAAGGCAUUAAUGUGUAAAGAAGUGUUGGUGGACAUUGGGCAGAAAUGCUAUUGUUAAAUCAUGCAAGUGUCCUUUAACUUCGCAGAUGUCUCAAGUGAAACUUUGGUCGCACAUAAUGUAUUAGAGUUCUGUACGAUUAGCC